rnacentral:rRNA from 1 species
GAUGAACGCUGGCGGCGUGCCUAAUACAUGCAAGUCGAGCGAACAGACGAGGAGCUUGCUCCUCUGACGUUAGCGGCGGACGGGUGAGUAACACGUGGAUAACCUACCUAUAAGACUGGGAUAACUUCGGGAAACCGGCGCUAAUACCGGAUAAUAUCUUGAACCGCAUGGUUCAAUAGUGAAAGACGGUUUUGCUGUCACUUCUAGAUGGAUCUGCGCCGCAUUGGCUAGUUGGUAAGGUAACGGCCUACCAAGGCAACGAUGCGUAGACGACCUGAGAGGGGGAUCGGCCACACGGGAAGUGAGACACGGUCCAGGCUCCUGCGGUAGGCAGCAGUAGGGAAUCGUCCGCAAAGGGCGAAAGCCUGACGGAGCAGCGCCGCGUGAGUGAUGAAAGUGUUCGGAUCGUAAAACUCUGUUAUUAGGGAAGAACAAAUGUGGAAGGAACUAUGCACGUCUUGACGGUACCGGAUCAGAAAGCCACGGCUAACUACGUG